rnacentral:sRNA from 1 species
UCUGCCAAUAUAAAAAGAUAAGACUCAGUAUGAUCCUCUCUGUUAGGUGCCGGUCCAGACUCGUCCAUCGUCCUCCUGGCCAUGACACCGAAUACUUUCUCCUUCGUCGUCCCGUUUCUUGUGGCGUCAGUCUACAGUGGUCAGUGCACACAGUUUCGCUUUGAUGGGUUUCAACUGCUGUCGGUCAACUUCCGAGAUCAGGAGGACGUCCAGUUUAUUCACAGACUAGCCAACCAGUUUUACGACGUGA